AUCUGAAUUUCCUUAUUCAUCCAACUUUCUCUUGGAAGCAUUUUAAGGUGCCAUUUACAGUUUUCCUGAGAUUAAAUCUCCUUGUACAAGCGCAUACAAAAAGAAACAAGAUGCAACAAAAAUGAUUAUUUUUACAAGCUCAACUCUCAUUGAGAGUUAAACCUGUUAGCUCCUGCUUUAUACAGGAAGCCACUAACAGAGACCCGUGGACCAAUAACUGUAAGUGCCCAUAUUAAUUGGAUCCGUGCCCCUGAUACAAUGCUAAUUUACAGCAGAACAAAACAAAAAUUUCAUGGCUCCAUGUUAGCAGCAACCACCAAAUAGGUAAGAUGACUACCACUCAUCAAAGUAAUAAAAUUCAAUAGCGGGGGGAAGAAGAAAAGGGUCAACACUCAACAUUUAAGUAUCCAUCCUGUCAAUAGCAACAAAAGGGAAGGUAUUCAACUCAUCCGCUUACAAGCACAUUUUGAUAUAGCUUUUGGUGUAACUACUUAAUUACCAGUGGCUCAUAAUCAAAAUAAAAUGCUUACAAGCACAUUUUGAUAUAGCUUUUGGUGUAACUACUUAAUUACCAGUGGCUCAUAAUCAAAAUAAAAUGCAUACAAGAGACUUAAGUAUCAGAAAGGCAAUUUAACCAUAAAUAGUAUUCAAAACCAGAGCACACUGUAUUAACAAAACACAAAAGAAGGGGUCAGAACAAACCUAUGUGAGGUGAAUGAUUCCACUUUACAAGCUUAACAUCUCCACCAAGAUCUUUUAGACGAUGAACAAAUUUGGAGAUAACAACAUAAGGUGCAAGGUCAUCAUUCUCUGAGCAUA
rnacentral:lncRNA from 1 species